GGGGAAGACGGUGCGAAUCCGUCGCUGCCCCGCAUCUGUAACCGGAACGAACCCCGCACGGAGCCACUGUUCGCAUCGCGGAAUGGGAAGGCGCGGGAAGUAGGCCGCCGGAAGCCAGAAGAUCC
rnacentral:ncRNA from 2 species